CCAAAGACUCUUUUCAGAGCCACUCACGUUUUCUGAGAAAGCUUAG
rfam:Ailuropoda melanoleuca scaffold760_5, whole genome shotgun sequence.